GACCCAUUUUGGUCUCGAGCUGCUCUGCAGCGACUGAGCUCGGAGGCGUCGUUCGUCAUCCGGCCAUCUCCCAGCGCAAGACCGGCGUUCACAGGUCCGUCUCGGCGUCCCCGACCUCCUUGUGAUUCCAGCUUGAAGAGUGGAGCUCCGGUGAGAGAGAAAAGGAGGAGAGAAGGCGAUUGUGUUUCCGAUCCCGACCACGACGGCGAGCGUGAAUGGUACUGGUAGUCUCAUCUCGUCCUCCCCAUCCUCCCUGUGAUCUUACUUUCAGCAAAGGAGCUCCGGUGAAGGAGAAUCGAAGGAGAGAAGCUUCUGAGUUUUCCGGCGAGGGUUCAGUGUUUUCCGGCGAAGUUGUGUUCGACUCAGGUAUCAAUCUUCAUCUACUCAUCGAGCUCUACCUCUUUGUAUAAUUGAAAUCGUGUUUGGUUGAGAGAUGAAGAAGUUGGGUUUAUGGCAGCGGGUGACCGCCGUGUGUACCAUUGUGCACGGCGGUGGUGGAGGCGUUUCUAUUGUUUUCUGGUUUUGAAUUUGUAUGCUAGAGUUGGAUUGAUGAUUAGUAUGUUGUCUGGAAUUAUUGAAAUUGUAGAAUUGGAGGUAGAGGGCGGAGUUGCAGGUUGUUCGGGUUUACUGCAAGUUUUGGUGAUUUUGGAGUUCAUACUUAUGAGCUGGUUCGAUAUAUGGUAUAAUGGAGUUGUGUUUUCAUCAUUGCCGAAGUAAUUGAGGGACUAGUGAUUGGAAUACAAUUUGGAGAUGAAUCAAGAGGUGGGAGAUUUGGACGACCUAUGUAUGUGUUGGUUAGUAAGAACAAGAAAGUCUUGCUACUACCGUGGAGUUGUGCGACAAUGCAGGAAAGUUACUAACUUUGGAAUUAUUGUUUAUUUGGCUACUGUAAAUGCAAGUUGAAUGAGCUCAGAGGUUAUAAACGUAUUAAAGGUAGGGAUUUAUACAAAGUGUGGGUGUCCAUAGCAAUUUGAAGGAUGGAAUGGAAGAAUUAAUUGGACACUUGUUUUUGGGUGUCCUUAGUAGAUUUCUGAAUUCGGUGUUUAAAAUGAUUCGUCGACAUUCUUGGAAUAAGAGUUCGAUACGAGGAUUUGAGGGCACUUUGCAGUUCUAGAAGCAGAAGGAUAAAGAUUUCAGAAUGCGUGUCGCAGAGAUACUAAUUUUAGUUAGCGUUGGAACUAGCGCUCGGAUUCCAGGUAAGGUUUUUCUCGGGGAACCUUCCUUAAAUUGAUAAUUAAUUUAUAAUUGAAAUGAGUCCAUUGAGUGAUUAACUCUUGGUUGUUAUUGUUUUCGAUAAAAGUAUAUGUAAUCGGUGAUUUAUAUAAUUAAUGUUAUUGCUUUCCAUAAAAACAUGUGUUGGAUGAUAUAUUAUGAAUAUUGAUAUUUGUUGCAUUCAUAAUGCAUUGUGAGGAAUUGUGAGAUUAGUGAGAUUAAUGAUAGUGGAGAAGAUGAGAAUGAGAUCGAGAAAAGAUACAUUUUGUGUAGUUGAGUUUCCUUAUGGGUUGUCCAUGAAUCCAU
rnacentral:lncRNA from 1 species